rnacentral:lncRNA from 1 species
UAAACAUAGAAGUUGCCUGGAGGUAACAAAAGACCAAAAUUUGCAUUAGACAAACGGUGAAAAGGUUCGCAUAUCAAAACAAUCAAAAAAAACUGGAGUACAACCUUGGAACAGACUUAAAACAAACCUGGAUAAUUCUAGAAAGACCACUACGACUAAACAAGCCAGACAAAAUGAAAUGAUAAGAGGGUUUGUCCACAAGACAAUAUCCGGAUUACAACACUAAAAAUAACCCGGACAACGGAAAUGACAACAAAAUAAACUACCAAAAACUCCACUCCGACUGACCAAGAAAUGGAGUAUCUUCCCAAUUAACAAGUACAACAUCUUAAACACUAAGCUUCGCAUCAAUAUUUACAAGACCAUUAUCAACUUUAAUCAACAACUUUCCAAGAGGAUUCACAUACUACCUGACAAACCCUUCGUCAUUGCCAACCAUUCCAACAAUCUGUGCGUUGUCAUGUUCCUGUAGAGGAUUAUGUAUGACACUUGGGGUAUUUCUGCCUUGGACCACAAUUAUUCCUUCUUGAAUCAUUCUCUCUAUCUCCCUUUUCAAAGCACGAAAAUCUUCAGCAUUGUGCCCCUAGGCAUUGGAAUGGCAUUCACACCUUUUAGCAGGGCCAACAAAGAUGACUUAAAUCGGUUUGUGCAAAUUCCACGUAGAAAUACAAGGAAAAACAAAUAAAAUUAAUGAAUAAAUAAAGAGCUCACCAUUCAAUAUAUAUUCACAGGGAAGUCUCGCUCAUUUCCUUGUGGCAACAGAAAACCAUGCGUUUAACAAACUUAAGCACUUCCCAAAGAUUAAUCAUUCAAUGAACUGAACAAUCAAACUCAUAUGGAAUAAUAAGAGAAAUUCAAUCCACUUUUCACAUAUUACCCACAUCAAAGUCAGUUAUUCACAUGUUUAAGAAUUGAAUGGAGAAGAUAGUGGAAAACCAAACCUAAACUGCCAAGAAGAAAACUGUAUCAAAGCAAAAGAAGACCGACGAAUCAAAGCUGUGAGCGAGAACCUCGAAUUGAUUUUGAACUUUUCGGGAAAAACUCAAAUUUAGACAGUGAGGAAGACCAAGCUGCUGUGUUUAUAGAGUUUGAAGGCUGAUUGCAUUUUUCACAGAAGGAGUCGCUUGUGUUGUUAAGGAGGUGAGUUUGAGGAUGACUUCCAUAGAGUGGAGGAGUUGGUUUCGCGGCUAUUUGGUGUUGAUUUUGGUUGGAGAAGGGGCUGCGAUUUGGAUGAUUUUGCACCUAAUUUUCGUUGCUCUUCCUAACUGUUUUCACAGCUUGUUUAGCUGCCAUUUUAAUGUGAACUUUGAGGUAUUCUAUGGGGUGAUUUGGGGUGUUCUAAUAGCUAGUGUGCGAGGAUAAAGAAAUAGGAUGGGUUGAAGAAGAAGAGCAAUUGGGAAGCUGCUUUCUUUAGCUAUCCAAUUUUGUGUGCUCCUUCGUUUCUUUCCCUUUUUGUUUUAGCUACUAGGUCUCUCAUUUUCUUUUGCUCUUUUUUCCCCUGAUCUUUUUGCUUUUCGUUUCUUUCCGUCUCCCGUUGCUCUCGUCCUCACCCUCCCCAAAUCUAUUAUUCUUUAUUUUUUGUUCUCCUUUUAACAUCUCUGGUUUUCCCUUUUUGUUGUUUUCUCUGCCCAACCCUUUUCCGUUCCUCCCUCUCUUUUCUCCCCCCUACCCUC